GGUUAAGCGACUAAGCGUACACGGUGGAUGCCCUGGCAGUCAGAGGCGAUGAAGGGCGUGCUAAUCUGCGAUAAGCGCCGGUAAGGUGAUAUGAACCGUUAUAACCGGCGAUACCCGAAUGGGGAAACCCAGUGUGAUUCGUCACACUAUCAUUAACUGAAUCCAUAGGUUAAUGAGGCGAACCGGGGGAACUGAAACAUCUAAGUACCCCGAGGAAAAGAAAUCAACCGAGAUUCCCCCAGUAGCGGCGAGCGAACGGGGAGGAGCCCAGAGCCUGAAUCAGCAUGUGUGUUAGUGGAAGCGUCUGGAAAGGCGCGCGAUACAGGGUGACAGCCCCGUACACAAAAGCGCAUGUGCUGUGAGCUCGAUGAGUAGGGCGGGACACGUGGUAUCCUGUCUGAAUAUGGGGGGACCAUCCUCCAAGGCUAAAUACUCCUGACUGACCGAUAGUGAACCAGUACCGUGAGGGAAAGGCGAAAAGAACCCCGGCGAGGGGAGUGAAAAAGAACCUGAAACCGUGUACGUACAAGCAGUGGGAGCACAGGUUUACCUGUGUGACUGCGUACCUUUUGUAUAAUGGGUCAGCGACUUAUAUUCUGUAGCAAGGUUAACCGUAUAGGGGAGCCGGAGGGAAACCGAGUCUUAAUUGGGCGUUAAGUUGCAGGGUAUAGACCCGAAACCCGGUGAUCUAGCCAUGGGCAGGUUGAAGGUUGGGUAACACUAACUGGAGGACCGAACCGACUAAUGUUGAAAAAUUAGCGGAUGACCUGUGGCUGGGGGUGAAAGGCCAAUCAAACCGGGAGAUAGCUGGUUCUCCCCGAAAGCUAUUUAGGUAGCGCCUCGUGAAUUCAUCUCCGGGGGUAGAGCACUGUUUCGGCUAGGGGGCCAUCCCGGCUUACCAACCCGAUGCAAACUGCGAAUACCGGAGAAUGUUAUCACGGGAGACACACGGCGGGUGCUAACGUCCGUCGUGAAGAGGGAAACAACCCAGACCGCCAGCUAAGGUCCCAAAGUCAUGGUUAAGUGGGAAACGAUGUGGGAAGGCCCAGACAGCCAGGAUGUUGGCUUAGAAGCAGCCAUCAUUUAAAGAAAGCGUAAUAGCUCACUGGUCGAGUCGGCCUGCGCGGAAGAUGUAACGGGGCUAAACCAUGCACCGAAGCUGCGGCAGCGAACGUAUCACUUAAAGCGAUUCAGCGGGUUACGAUUGACGGAGCGAAGCGACGUCAAAGCGUAUACAAAGUCGAGUCGGUUUAAGGAUACGUUCGUUGGGUAGGGGAGCGUUCUGUAAGCCUGUGAAGGUGGCCUGUGAGGGUUGCUGGAGGUAUCAGAAGUGCGAAUGCUGACAUAAGUAACGAUAAAGCGGGUGAAAAGCCCGCUCGCCGGAAGACCAAGGGUUCCUGUCCAACGUUAAUCGGGGCAGGGUGAGUCGACCCCUAAGGCGAGGCCGAAAGGCGUAGUCGAUGGGAAACGGGUUAAUAUUCCCGUACUUGGUGUUACUGCGAAGGGGGGACGGAGAAGGCUAUGUUGGCCGGGCGACGGUUGUCCCGGUUUAAGCGUGUAGGUGUGUGUUCCAGGUAAAUCCGGUUCACUUUAACACUGAGGCGUGAUGACGAGGCACUACGGUGCUGAAGCAACAAAUGCCCUGCUUCCAGGAAAAGCCUCUAAGCAUCAGGUAACAUCAAAUCGUACCCCAAACCGACACAGGUGGUCAGGUAGAGAAUACCAAGGCGCUUGAGAGAACUCGGGUGAAGGAACUAGGCAAAAUGGUGCCGUAACUUCGGGAGAAGGCACGCUGACACGUAGGUGAAGUGAUUUACUCACGGAGCUGAAGUCAGUCGAAGAUACCAGCUGGCUGCAACUGUUUAUUAAAAACACAGCACUGUGCAAACACGAAAGUGGACGUAUACGGUGUGACGCCUGCCCGGUGCCGGAAGGUUAAUUGAUGGGGUCAGCGCAAGCGAAGCUCCUGAUCGAAGCCCCGGUAAACGGCGGCCGUAACUAUAACGGUCCUAAGGUAGCGAAAUUCCUUGUCGGGUAAGUUCCGACCUGCACGAAUGGCGUAAUGAUGGCCAGGCUGUCUCCACCCGAGACUCAGUGAAAUUGAACUCGCUGUGAAGAUGCAGUGUACCCGCGGCAAGACGGAAAGACCCCGUGAACCUUUACUAUAGCUUGACACUGAACAUUGAGCCUUGAUGUGUAGGAUAGGUGGGAGGCUUUGAAGUGUGGACGCCAGUCUGCAUGGAGCCGACCUUGAAAUACCACCCUUUAAUGUUUGAUGUUCUAACGUGGACCCGUAAUCCGGGUUGCGGACAGUGUCUGGUGGGUAGUUUGACUGGGGCGGUCUCCUCCUAAAGAGUAACGGAGGAGCACGAAGGUUGGCUAAUCCUGGUCGGACAUCAGGAGGUUAGUGCAAUGGCAUAAGCCAGCUUGACUGCGAGCGUGACGGCGCGAGCAGGUGCGAAAGCAGGUCAUAGUGAUCCGGUGGUUCUGAAUGGAAGGGCCAUCGCUCAACGGAUAAAAGGUACUCCGGGGAUAACAGGCUGAUACCGCCCAAGAGUUCAUAUCGACGGCGGUGUUUGGCACCUCGAUGUCGGCUCAUCACAUCCUGGGGCUGAAGUAGGUCCCAAGGGUAUGGCUGUUCGCCAUUUAAAGUGGUACGCGAGCUGGGUUUAGAACGUCGUGAGACAGUUCGGUCCCUAUCUGCCGUGGGCGCUGGAGAACUGAGGGGGGCUGCUCCUAGUACGAGAGGACCGGAGUGGACGCAUCACUGGUGUUCGGGUUGUCAUGCCAAUGGCACUGCCCGGUAGCUAAAUGCGGAAGAGAUAAGUGCUGAAAGCAUCUAAGCACGAAACUUGCCCCGAGAUGAGUUCUCCCUGAGACUUAGAGUCUCCUGAAGGAACGUUGAAGACGACGACGUUGAUAGGCCGGGUGUGUAAGCGCAGCGAUGCGUUGAGCUAACCGGUACUAAUGAACCGUGAGGCUUAACCUU
rnacentral:rRNA from 1 species